rnacentral:rRNA from 1 species
ACUCCUACGGGGAGGCAGCAGUAGGGGAAUCUUCCACAAUGGACGAAAGUCUGAUGGAGCAACGCCGCGUGAGUGAAGAAGGGUUUCGGCUCGUAAAACUCUGUUGUUAAAGAAGAACAUAUCUGAGAGUAACUGUUCAGGUAUUGACGGUAUUUAACCAGAAAGCCACGGCUAACUACGUGCCAGCAGCCGCGGGUAAUACGUAGGUGGGCAAGCGUUGUCCGGAUUUAUUGGGGCGUAAAGCGAGCGCAGGCGGUUUUUAAGUCUGAUGUGAAAGCCUUCGGCUCAACCGAAGAAGUGCAUCGGAAACUGGGAAACUUGAGUGCAGAAGAGGACAGUGGAACUCCAUGUGUAGCGGUGAAAUGCGUAGAUAUAUGGAAGAACACCAGUGGCGAAGGCGGCUGUCUGGUCUGUAACUGACGCUGAGGCUCGAAAGUAUGGGUAGCAAACAGGAUUAGAUACCCUGGUAGCUCGAUG